UCGGUCUCAUGGUGCAGUGGGGACUCUGCAGGAAACAGCACCAGCAGAUCACUGGAACCUCAGACCAGCUUUCUUUUUCUGUGCGUGUUGCUGGUGGGGUUUGGUGGUUCAGCAGUCAGAGCUGCCAUGUGACAUCCCUAGAAGGUCUCCCAGCUGAUCUUGGCCGAGACUGAUACUGGUGCCGGAUCCAUCAGCCUUGAUUGUCAGCACGUGUGGUGCUUGUUGCAAAGACCAGGAGUGGAUUUCUCCCGCAGCUGCAAGGCAGAGGGAUCUCAUUCUGAAACCUCAAGAGCUGCCGUGAAAUGGGUUUGUCAUCGGCCAGGGAGCUCCAAUGCCUACGUGCCUUUCAGCAACCGUGACGAAUUCUCAUCCCAGCCUGGCACGCGAGUUACGCAGUGCUGCUCGUGGAGCAGCAAGCUAUUCUGACUCCUAACCCUGCUGUUUUAUCACCGUGUGCGCGGCUGAUGCGAGCAAGGAUGCCGCGAUUUCAUCAGCCAGCUGAAGCCUGCACGGAUCAGCGGCUGGCCAUCGUUCAGGGACAGAGCGUGAUACUCCCUGUCUUGGGCGUCGAGGCAGAGCCUCCUCUGCCAGCGUUGCUGUAGGCUUUUCAACCCAAACCGCGAGGUCCAGCCUCGUCGGAGCCGAGCAACCCGGGUCUCGUCAGGCUCCUGCAGUCCACUGCGUAGUGAUGAAGGGCUGGGUGCCCUACGAGAGUGCACCGGGAUUAACUUGUAGAGUGAUCUGUUUAAGCUGCAGAUAAACCCACCAUGGAUCUUCCUUCCCAGGACUGAAGAAGCCUUUAUGGCAGAGCUGGCACGGUUUGAGUUGGGGUGUGAGCAUCAGGUGUGGAAGCAACAGACGCUGAUGUCCCCCUGAACUCAUGCUCAGAUGGAGAACAAAAGGCAGCCCACACAGGGACUGAGCGAAAAUAAGAGCCCAGAGAGCAAGAGGUUGGGGAAAGAGCGGCUUUCAAGCAUCGCUGACUCCUACCCAUCCAUCUACACAGAGGUGCUUCCACCCACCUCCACAAGUCUAAGCCGUGGACAGAUAUCCCCUUUGAGACCUAGCCCCUUGUGUCUAGCUCCGCUGACCUACUGGCAGGACUCCUUAGAUGGAAGGACCAAUUUUAGACAAGUGAGCAAGCCUGAGCAUUACUACAGAAAUUUCAAGUAGGUGGAAGACAGGAUGAAAGAGAGUCAACAGGAAGUGUUCAGAAGUGAACAGCACUGCUCGGGGAUUCAUUUUGGAACCUCUCUUCAUUAAUAUCUUUCUUAAUGAGCUGGGCACACAUGGAGGAGUGUAUGGAUCACUUCUGCAGAUGAGACAGUUGAGAGCAUUGCCAACGUGCCUGAAUGUCACACAGGAAGGAUGGAGCGACCUUGGGGACUGUUAGAAGAAGCAGCGUGAGAUAUUGCAACUCAGGUCCCGGCAUCCAGAGACAUAGGAGUAGAAUGAAACCUCCCGAUACUGGAAGUGUCUGGAUUCUGUGCUGGGGAUGACACAGCUGUACAGAUGUGGUCAGACUGCGCCCCAAGGCACACGCAUUAGGUGAAAGCUGAAUUUCCUAAGGCCUUCUUUGAGUGUGCUUGCUCUUAAGCCCAUCUCCCAGCUGUGGGCACCUUUCUCCUUGCCAUGGGAUCUUGGGGAGAUAACAUCACUGCUUCUUCUCUGCACAACUGUGUCCUCAAGUUCAGGCUCUCACACCCUACAAGCUGCCAUCAGUGGCUUUUGUAGGCAGUUUUGGGAUGAACACGUGGGCCCUUGCUCCCCUCCAGCUGCCUGUGCUGGCAUGAGUGGUGCUUUCCUUCAGCAGCUCACUCUGGGUCACCUUAUGUCCUGGUUUCACCUGUGAUAGAGUUACUUUUCUUUCUAGUAUACGGUAUAGUGCUGUAUUUUGGAUUUAGUAUGAGAAUACUGUUGAUAACACACUGAUGUUUUCAGUUGUUGCUGGGUAGUUGCAGUGUCUACACUAAGUCAAGGACUUUUCAGCUUCUCACACCCUGCCAGGUGCAGAAGAAGCUGGGAGAGCACAGCCAGGACAGCUGGCCCAGACUGGCCAAAAAGACAUUCCAUACCAUACACCAUCGUGCUCCAGAUAUAACUGGGGAGGCCAGCCGGGAGGCGGGAUCGCUGCUUGGAAACAGACUGGGCAUCAGGUUGGGCUUUUUUGCUUCUGCACGUGGUGAGCAAUUGCAUUUGUGCAUCAAAUUAUUAUUAUUAUUUUUGUUGUCGUUGUUAUCUUCCUUUCUUAUCCUAUUAAACUGUCUUUAUG